ACGAAGGGGGCUAGCGUUGCUCGGAAUCACUGGGCGUAAAGCGCACGUAGGCGGCUUUUUAAGUCAGAGGUGAAAUCCUGGAGCUCAACUCCAGAACUGCCUUUGAUACUGGAGAGCUUGAGUCCGGGAGAGGUGAGUGGAACUGCGAGUGUAGAGGUGAAAUUCGUAGAUAUUCGCAAGAGCACCAGUGGCGAAGGCGGCUCACUGGCCCGGUACUGACGCUGAGGCGCGAAAGCGUGGGUAGCAAACA
rnacentral:rRNA from 1 species